rnacentral:misc_RNA from 1 species
AUUAAACUUGUGAGUAAAAGCUAAUGCAUCAAAGAAAACCAUUAUUCUGCAGACAAACUGACAUGACAGGAAAUCAUAUGCAACAACACCAAACGUACUAACCAAACGAACCAUGCAUGCAUGCAAACUUCCAUUGCUUAAUUCGCCGGAGGGCUAGGGUUGUGGUACUCUGGCGCAGGCUGCGGCUUGGGCUCGGGCUUAGGCUCAGGCUUGGGUGGCACGGGCUUCUUGUGGAAGUGGUCGAAGAAGUGCUUCUCCUUCUUGUGGAUGUGGUCGAGGAAUGGGUGCUCCGGCUCAGGCUUGGGCUUGGGUGGCUCCGGCUUUGGCUCCGGCUUGGGUGGCACCGGCUUCUUGUGGAAGUGGUCUAUGAUCUUCUUCUUGAUGGGACCGCAGAUGGUCGCCGAUGCGCACAACGCUGAUGGGUAGUGGGUCUGGCCGGCGACGGCGAUAAAGGUGCCCUCUGACAUUGGCACGAUCUUGGAUGGCUCCUGGCCGGGGCAUGGCUCGUUGGUGGCGCUGUGGAGCUGAGCGAUGCAGUCGGAGCUGUGGAGGUCGGCGUCGAGGGGGAUGCUGAAGACGCCGGUACCGUCGAGCUUUCCGGUGGCCUUGCUCUCGUACUCACCAUUGCCGUUC